UACGGAGGGGGCAAGCGUUGUUUGGAUUUACUGGGCGUAAAGGGUCCGUAGGCGGUUGCGUAAGUCUGAUGUGAAAUCUUCGCCGCUCAACGGGAAGAGGUCAUUGGAAACUGCGCGACUUGAGUAUGGUAGAGGCAAGCGGAAUUCCUGGUGUAGCGGUGGAAUGUGUAGAUAUCAGGAAGAACAUCUGUGGCGAAGGCGGCUUGCUGGGCCAUUACUGACGCUGAGGGACGAAAGCGUGGGGAGCAAACGGG
rnacentral:rRNA from 1 species